GGAGCAGGCCGGGCAGCCGCUGCGGGCCCCGAGCGUACGGCGGGAUGCCCCGCAGAGGAAAGUCCGGGCACCACAGGGCAGGGCGCUGGGUAAUGCCCAGUGGGGGCGACCCCGAGGACAGUGCCACAGAAACAUACCGCCGGCCGAUCGGGCCGGUAAGGGUGCAAUCGUGCGGUAAGAGCGCACGGCGCGCCGGGUGACCGGCGCGCGGGCAAACCCCGCCCGGUGCAAGGCCACGUAGGGGGAGAUGAGGCGGCCCGCCGCAUCCCCGGGUAGGCUGCUGGAGACGCCUGGCAACAGGCGCCG
rnacentral:RNase_P_RNA from 1 species